GACGAACGCUGGCGGCGUGCUUAACACAUGCAAGUCGAACGGAAAGGCCCUGCUUGCGGGGUACUCUAGUGGCGAACGGGGGAGUAACACGCGGGUGUUCUCCCCUGCACUUCGGGAUAAGCCUUGGAAACUGGGGCUAAUACCGGAUAUGACCUCCCAUGCAGUGUGGGGGGGGGAGGGAUUUAUCGGUGUGGGAUGAGCCCGCGGCCUAUCAGCUUGUUGGUGGGGUAAUGGCCUACCAAGGCGUCGACGGGUAGCCGGCCUGAGAGGGUGGCCGGCCACAUUGGGACUGAGAUACGGCCCAGACUCCUACGGGAGGCAGCAGUGGGGAAUAUUGCACAAUGGGCGGAAGCCUUAUGCAGCAACGCCGCGUGCGGGAUGGCGGCCUUCGGGUUGUAAACCUCUUUCGCCAGGGACGAAGCUUCGGUGACGGUACCUGUAAAAGAAGCACCGGCUAACUACGUG
rnacentral:rRNA from 1 species